rnacentral:rRNA from 1 species
CAACGCGCAAAACCUUACCUAGGCUCGAACGCUAUUUGACAGGUGCUGAAAGGCAUUUUCUCUUCGGAGCAGGUAGUGAGGUGUUGC